AGUGGAUGGGGAGCAACCUAGUUGUGCGUGUGUAAAGGUAGUGCCAAGAAAAGCGAUGAUCAUGUUGAAAAUCAAUUCCCGGUACCCGAAACCGACACAGGUGGGCAAGUAGAGAAUACUAAGGGGCGCGAGGUAACUCUCUCCAAGGAACUCGGCAAAAUGACCCCGUAACUUAGGGAGAAGGGGUGCCACCGAGAGGUGGUCGCAGUGAAGAGGCCCAGGCGACUGUUUAGCAAAAACAUAGGUCUCUGCAAACUCGAAAGAGGAGGUAUAGGGGCUGACGCCUGCCCAGUGCCGGAAGGUUAAAGAAGUUGGUCAGUUUUAGGAUGAAGCUAGCGACUGAAGCCCCGGUGAACGGCGGCCGUAACUAUAACGGUCCUAAGGUAGCGAAAUUCCUUGUCGGGUAAGUUCCGACCCGCACGAAAGGCGUAACGAUCUGGGCGCUGUCUCGGAGAGAGGCUCGGCGAAAUAGGAUUGUCUGUGAAGAUACGGACUACCUGCAUUUGGACAGAAAGACCCUAUGAAGCUUUACUAUAGCUUGGAAUUGUGUUCGGGCUUCCUGUGCGCAGGAUAGGUGGGAGGCGUAGAAGGUAUUCUUGUGGGGAUACUGGAGCCAACGGUGAGAUACCACUCUCAGGAGGCUAGAAUUCUAACUUAAUUAAGGACAGUUUCAGGUGGGUAGUUUGACUGGGGCGGUCGCCUCCAAAAAGGUAACGGAGGCGUACAAAGGUUCCCUCAGACUGGUUGGAAAUCAGUCGAAGAGUGCAAAGGCAGAAGGGAGCUUGACUGCGAGAAGUACAGUUCGAGCAGGGUGGAAACACGGUCUUAGUGAUCCGACGGUGCUGUGUGGAAGGGCCGUCGCUCAACGGAUAAAAGUUACUCUAGGAUAACAGGCUGAUCUCCCCCAAGAGUUCACAUCGACGGGGAGGUUUGGCACCUCGAUGUCGGCUCAUCGCAACCUGGGGCGGAAGUACGUCCCAAGGGUUGGGCUGUUCGCCCAUUAAAGCGGUACGUGAGCUGGGUUCAGAACGUCGUGAGACAGUUCGGUCCAUAUCCGAUGUAGGCGUGAGAAUAUUGAGAGGAGCCUUCCUUAGUACGAGAGGACCGGGAAGGACGCACCGCUGGUGUACCUGUUAUGAUGCCAAUUGUAAACGCAGGGUAGCCAAGUGCGGAGAGGAUAACCGCUGAAAGCAUCUAAGUGGGAAGCCCACCUCAAGAUGAGUAUUCUGGUGUAAGGUCACGGGAAGACGACCCGUAAAUAGGCACGAGGUGGAAGUGCAGAGAUGUAUGAAGCCGAAGUGUACUAAUAGACCGUCGGCUUG
rnacentral:rRNA from 1 species